rnacentral:rRNA from 1 species
UUCUUGAAUGUAGUUGAGUUAGGCGGAAUGUGUAAUGUACCGGUGAAAUGGUUAGAUAUUACACAGAACACCGAUUGCGAAGGCAGCUUACUAUACUACGAUUGACGCUGAGGUACGAAAGCGUGGGGAGCGAACAGGAUUAGAUACCCUGGUAGUCCACGCUGUAAACGAUGAUCACUCGUUGUUUGGCAAUACACCGUCAAGCGACUGAGCGAAAGCAUUAAGUGAUCCACCUGGGGAGUACGACCGCAAGGUUGAAACUCAAAGGAAUUGACGGGGGCCCGCACAAGCGGAGGAACAUGUGGUUUAAUUCGAUGAUACGCGAGGAACCUUACCUGGGCUUAAAUGUAGAACGACGGACCGGGAAACUGGUCUUUCUUCGGACGGUCUGCAAGGUGCUGCAUGGCUGUCGUCAGCUCGUGCCGUGAGGUGUCGGGUUAAGUCCCAUAACGAGCGCAACCCUCAUCAUUAGUUGCCAGCGGGUAAUGCCGGGGACUCUAAUGAAACUGCCGGUGUAAACCGAGAGGAAGGUGGGGAUGACGUCAAGUCAGCACGGCCCUUAUGUCCAGGGCUACACACGUGUUACAAUGGUCGGUACAAAGGGCAGCUACCUGGCGACAGGAUGCUAAUCUCGAAAACCGAUCUCAGUUCGGAUCGAAGUCUGCAACUCGACUUCGUGAAGCUGGAUUCGCUAGUAAUCGCGCAUCACCCACGCAGCGUGAAUACGUUCCCGGGCANUGACACACCGCCCGUCAAGCCAUGAAGCUGGGG